AUCCCCCUUCCCUUUCUGUCCCCCUUUGUCCUUCCCUUCUUCGUUUCUUCCUCUUGCUUGAAACAGUGCCAGUGUAGCCCAGGUUGAACUUGAGUCGGCUUCUGAUGCUCUUGCCAGCACCUAGUCCGUGCUGGGGUUACAGGCAUGUCCCAGCGUACCCCAGUACCUAGUCCGUGCUGGGGUUACAGGCGUGUCCCGGCGUACCCAGUUUACCCGGUUUAUUUGUUGUUUUUAACAUCCUUGUUUGAGAAAGACAACUUGCGUUAUGCCUUCAGGCCUUUCCAGCUUUAUCAGUUGUUUUGAUGUUCCUUGACUCCCAGUCAGCAAGGAAACCAAACUAAAAUUGAGGGGGAGGGGCUUCGUUCCCUCUCCCGUCCCCUUAAACGGCUUUCUAUCCUGCCUCAGAUGCGUGGACCACCACCGGCUUUAGUAGCACCAUAUUCCAGAACACAGGGAUGGUGUCUCAAAGAGGAGGAUCUCAUCAUUGUCCAACAAAUCGGCUUUUCCCUUUUUUUUUUUCUUUCUUUCGGCUUUUCCCUUUAAUCUACUCCCCCGCCUCAUCUCAAAUUCCAGGAACCAGGAGCCUUUGAGGGUGGGGGUGGGAUUCCCCCCACCCCCCACCUCCCCAGUGCUUGAAGGACCCCGAGACCAGAGGUCUAUUGUCAGUAUCCACAGCCAGGCAAGAGGAUGCUGGUCUCCCUGCUCUUUUCAAUAUGGCCUGACUGUAUAAAUUCCUUUUCGGCUUCAUCACUCUCUUUCCCAUUUGGUCCUGUGGGGGCCUUCUAGAUUUGAGAUUUUCUCUCGGUCACUGUGAUGGAGAACAUGAUAGAAUGGUAUUUCCAGUCUUCAGUUGCCAGGGCAGAAUGUGAUCUUGUUACUGUCUCCACUCAAAGUAGCAUUCAUCAGAAGUUCUGGUCAGGACUUUGGUGAUGAGACUUCUGUCCUACGUACACCUUGGGGUUUGGUUUCAUCCCAAAGGCCCAUUCAAGCAUAUAUGUGUAUAUAUGCACAAUCCUUCUGAACUUGACAAAGGUGAGUGGACUUCCUGGAAGCUUCUUUAUGCCUUCCCUGCUCUCCUCAGAGUCCCUCACUCCCGCUCUUCUGACUUUGAAGGACUACAACCUCCUUUUUAUUUUUUCUGCAUCUGUUGGGUUCAGAGUGGAAGCCAGAAAAACUCACUUCAGAUAUGGAAGCUUAAAAAUGAAAGCUUUAAUUUCUGAGCACCCAGGGAGGCAGUCAGUCCGGAUCUGAACCCUGACCCUGAAAGGAGAUUGUACAUUUUUAUAAGCUGGAACCCAAAGCAAGGGGGAUGAGGUGGUCUGUUGCAUUGAGCAAUCCUAUUUUGACACAAGGGGUUAAACGAGAAGGUACCAUUGGCUGGGCUUUAUCUGGGUCACCUGGUUUCAUGGUUCUUGGGUCCAUGAGCUUUCACAGUCAGGUCCCUCCUGGGUCUGGCCCAGAGUUUUAGAAUGACAAAGGAAUAGAGGAAUGGACAAGCUGCUUGAAGUCAUUUAAAUCAAGACAGGCAGCACAUUCAUGAUUUGUGUGUCUUAGUUUAGAUAACAGGAUGACAGCGCCUUCCUUCUUUGUCCUUUACUGGUUAACAGACAAACAAGAAACAUCUGAAGAAGCAGGACAGGAGCUGUGUUCUGGGGCCUGGGAACAUGAACUCAGUUUUGACUCUGUCAGCCAGGUGGACCUCAGGAAAUCCCCUCCUGACACAUCAAGGCCUGCUGUCUUCCAGUUGCCCUGUAGCAGUUCUGCAGGCUUCUUCCCAGCAAAGUCAGCAUCCUCCAGCAGAGUUCCAAAGUUCCGUGUCCUCUCCAGCUGCCUUUACUCCUCCGUGGAACCGAACCACAAGCAGGGGCUCCCUUCUCCAGGACCUUGGGCAAUGGGAGGAGGGACUGGAAGCCAGUGUGAUGCAGUCUACAGAAGAAAUCCCAGAGACAAGGCCCUGACAUGAUACGGUCUAGGGUGCUCCAUUGGAUUUGUUAUCUCUCCAGGUGAAGAGUUAAAAGGCAGGAAAAAAAAUCUGAAACAAGUGGCAGAGAAAUCUCAAGCACUGUAGACCAGACUAGCAGUUAAAGAAAGGUGUUUAAUGGGGGACCGGGGAGGACCACAUGCACACAGCAGAUAAGCAGAGCAGUGGAGGGGGUUAUCUCAGGUCUUAGAAAGACAGAAACCAGGGGCUGGGGAUUUAGCUCAGCGGUAGAGCGCUUGCCUAGGAAGCACAAGGCCC
rnacentral:sRNA from 1 species